GCCUUCAUAGUUUAGUUGGCUAUAACACCCCACUAGUAAUCUGAUUUACUACAAUGGGGAGGUCAGUCGUUCGAAUCGGCUUGGAGGCA
rnacentral:tRNA from 1 species